rnacentral:rRNA from 1 species
AUUGAACGCUGGCGGCAUGCUUUACACAUGCAAGUCGAACGGUAGCAGGCCGCAAGGUGCUGACGAGUGGCGAACGGGUGAGUAAUGCAUCGGAACGUGCCCAGUCGUGGGGGAUAACUACUCGAAAGAGUAGCUAAUACCGCAUACGAUCUAUGGAUGAAAGCGGGGGACCGUAAGGCCUCGCGCGAUUGGAGCGGCCGAUGUCAGAUUAGGUAGUUGGUGGGGUAAAGGCUCACCAAGCCAACGAUCUGUAGCUGGUCUGAGAGGACGACCAGCCACACUGGGACUGAGACACGGCCCAGACUCCUACGGGAGGCCGCAGUGGGGAAUUUUGGACGAUGGGCGCAAGCCUGAUCCAGCAAUGCCGCGUGCAGGAAGAAGGCCUUCGGGUUGUAAACUGCUUUUGUACGGAACGAAACGGCUCUGGUUAAUACCCGGGGCUAAUGACGGUACCGUAAGAAUAAGCACCGGCUAACUACGUG